rnacentral:misc_RNA from 1 species
CCGAGUGAGGGCCUCUCGGCCCAACCUCCCAACCCUUUGUAUUUCCGACCCCGUUGCCUCGGGGGCGACCUGGGCCUCUUCGGGGCCCAGGGCCCCCGGUGGACCACUCAACUCUGCAUCUUUGCGUCUGAGUUUAUAUAUGAAUCAAUCA